rnacentral:rRNA from 1 species
UGGGGAAUUUUGGACAAUGGGCGCAAGCCUGAUCCAGCCAUGCCGCGUGCAGGAUGAAGGCCUUCGGGUUGUAAACUGCUUUUGUACGGAACGAAACGGCUCUGGUUAAUACCUGGGGCUAAUGACGGUACCGUAAGAAUAAGCACCGGCUAACUACGUGCCAGCAGCCGCGGUAAUACGUAGGGUGCGAGCGUUAAUCGGAAUUACUGGGCGUAAAGCGUGCGCAGGCGGUUAUAUAAGACAGAUGUGAAAUCCCCGGGCUCAACCUGGGAACUGCAUUUGUGACUGUAUAGCUAGAGUACGGCAGAGGGGGAUGGAAGUCCGCGUGUAGCAGUGAAAUGCGUAGAUAUGCGGAGGAACACCGAUGGCGAAGGCAAUCCCCUGGGCCUGCACUGACGCUCAUGCACGAAAGCGUGGGGAGCAAACA